rnacentral:rRNA from 1 species
GACGAACGCUGGCGGCGUGCCUAAUACAUGCAAGUAGAACGCACAGUUUAUACCGUAGCUUGCUACACCAUAGACUGUGAGUUGCGAACGGGUGAGUAACGCGUAGGUAACCUGCCUGGUAGCGGGGGAUAACUAUUGGAAACGAUAGCUAAUACCGCAUAAUAUUAAUUAUUGCAUGAUAAUUGAUUGAAAGAUGCAACUGCAUCACUACCAGAUGGACCUGCGUUGUAUUAGCUAGUAGGUGAGGUAACGGCUCACCUAGGCGACGAUACAUAGCCGACCUGAGAGGGUGAUCGGCCACACUGGGACUGAGACACGGCCCAGACUCCUACGGGAGGCAGCAGUAGGGAAUCUUCGGCAAUGGACGAAAGUCUGACCGAGCAACGCCGCGUGAGUGAAGAAGGUUUUCGGAUCGUAAAGCUCUGUUGUAAGAGAAGAACGGGUGUGAGAGUGGAAA